rnacentral:rRNA from 1 species
GACAGAGGGGGCAAGCGUUGCUCGGAAUUACUGGGCGUAAAGGGCGUGUAGGCGGGAUGGCAAGUCGGUCGUGAAAUCCCUCGGCUCAACUGAGGAGCGUCGAUCGAAACUGCCGUUCUUGAGGGUUGCAGAGGAGACUGGAAUUCCCGGUGUAGCGGUGAAAUGUGUAGAGAUCGGGAGGAACACCGGUGGCGAAGGCGGGUCUCUGGGCAACUCCUGACGCUGAGGCGCGAAAGCGUGGGGAGCAAACGGG